GUCUAACCGACGAGUUCGAAAUAGGACGAAACCGUGUCCUGGAU
rfam:Schistosoma haematobium scaffold670_13, whole genome shotgun sequence.